GAUGUCUGCCUCCAUGGUAUAGCGGUGUGUGUUGUCAACGAGACGAGUGUCAGAAUUUGCAACACAAACUGUUACAGCUAGAAGAUGUGUUCUUUCAGCUGCAUACAUAGACCCAUAAAAAUGGGAUCAAAGGCCAAAAACUCCUCAAAACCUAGCUGAGUUAGCGACUCUAAUGGACAUGACUUAUGAGAAGAAGCUUCCCGUCAGCUCCUUAACAAUAGCCCGGUUUGUUAACAAUAUUUCCUCAAGAGAAGAAAUUGAUCAAGCUGAGUACUAUCUUUAUAAGGAAUCUGAACAGAAGACUGAGGAAUGAAGGCACUGUGGUUCACUGAAAAAAUAUCGGGACACUGAAUCCCAACUCAUGCCCAGUUUUCUGACAGUCAUGGAAAACAGCUGCAGUUCAGAGAUUCAUUCCAGGCUAAAAGUUCCCAGGGCUAAAUCAUACUGCAGAUUUCAACAGCGGACCAGUCUUAAAAAUAAAUAAAUAAAUACUAUUCCUCAUGAUUUGAAAGUUCAGAGACUUAGUCUGAAGCAGAAUCCAUAAAGAGUAUUCCAAAUAUACAAUUCCAAGUAGUUUUGGUAAUUCCUUUCCAUUGUGAAAUCAGGACUGAGGAUUGAGGGAUAAGGAUGUGGUUUAAUGCACUGCAUUGCAUUCAUGCAAAUCUGUACUGGAGCCAAGAAUCAAAGCAUAGUCUGUAUGUGGGGGGUGCAUUUGCACCCCUUUUCCCCAUUAGGGUGUAUUUCAAACGGUUUUAUUGUGUUUCUUUAGGUAUAUACUGUUCUAGAGCUCUAAAUUGUCAAUAUCCCAGGGUCGUCUUUGUCUUUAAGGACUUUUUGGAGACAUUUUUCAGUGAUUUCCCUAAGGUCUGUUCUGUGUUCACUACUUUUGUUAUAUACAUUAUCUGAAUGGUGCCAGCAGUGAUUUCUUCAAUUGUAUCAAACACACUUGCAUACAGAUUAUACAGUUGCUUGCUCGAGUGGUAAAUUGCUGGAUAUAAUGCAAAUAUGUCAGAAAACAGAUCUACUGUAAGUACUGUCCAAAGUGCUUGUGUGCUUAGUGUUAGAGCUAUGCAGUAUGGUACAGUGUGGAAAUCACAUUGUUAAACUAUAUUCAAUAUUUAACUGUUUGGAAAGUCAAGUAGAAAAAUGUUUCGUCAGAUGUAUUCAUCAGUGUUACGAUGGUGUUACCUUUAGAAUGCAGAAGUUUAUGAUUGUAGAUAAUUUUUUUUUUGUAUAUAUUUGGAAGUGUUUUUAAUAUUACAGUGCUGAACUAGGAUUGAUUAUAUAAAUUUACAAUGCUUAAACCAGUGUUUUGCAUAAUUAGAAGAUUAUGACCGUUUUGGUAUUAAACACCAAUAAUGAGGUACUUCCUAAAAUAAAAGGAAGCCACAGGAAACAGCCAGAGGCCAGCUAUGUCAGAACCAUGAUGCUGUUUAGGCAUUUAUUCUAGUUACACUGUAUAUCAAUGCAGAUUAAUAUAGAGUAAAACCACUGUUAGUUAGUUGCUGUAAACUUCAACGUUAAAUGAAAAAGGGGGCAGUUGCUAAAUUGAAUGUAAAUUCUUUGAAAAUAUGGCCCUCUGUUUUUCGAUCUAUUGCGCUAAAUGGGCAAGCACAUCACAAACACCUGUGUGAGAAGGUUUGGUAUGUGUUUAUAGAAGCAAGGAGCAAAAUAUUCCCUUCCUAUCGAUAGUGUUACUGAAGCAGCCACUAAGUUAUGAAUAAAGUUUAAUGUCUGGGUUUUAAAUCAUAGCUAUAAAUCUGAUUGCACUCACAGCAAGAGUGCAUCACAAGGUUCUGGAGGAAAUCAUAGGUCUGUGUUGUUAUAGCAACAGCAGUUCACCCCAUCAGACUGUUCACUUCUCUCAGCCUAUCAGGGGCUGAAUUAAGACACUGGAUUAUUGAUGACAUUCCGUGGGUUUAAACUAGUGUAGUCUUCCCAGGUUUUGAAAAUUUGAUUGCAGUGUGAAUAUUCUUUAGAUUAAACGUAGGGGUCUUAAAUACAGUAAUACAGAAUUUUACAGAAUUUUGAAAAAGUGCUUUCAUACUUCUACCCGGCUAUUUCUACCAUGCAAUCUAAAGAAGGGGGAAGAUGAAACGUUGUAGCUAAUUAUUCAAAUAGUGACUUAUUAGUUUAUCAAUGACUUUUCUUCCUUAAGUAUUUCUAGUGAUUGACUAGUGUCCUGUUGGGUCCUCAUUCUCCUUGGAUAUAGAGCCGUGUGUGUGUGUGUGUGUAUACAUUAUAUAUAUAUAUAUAUAUAUAUAUAUAUAUAUAUAU